rnacentral:rRNA from 1 species
ACGGGGCCGCACAAGCGGUGGAGCAUGUGGUUUAAUUCGAUGAUACGCGAAGAACCUUACCUGGUUUGAACUGUACUGACAGGUGUAGAGAUACACUCUUCUUCGGACAGGUAUAGAGGUGCUGCAUGGUUGUCGUCAGCUCGUGUCGUGAGAUGUUGGGUUAAGUCCCGCAACGAGCGCAACCCUUACUCCUUGUUGCUACCAGGUAAUGCUGAGCACUCUAGGGGAACUGCCGGUGAUAAACCGGAGGAAGGUGGGGAUGACGUCAAAUCAUCACGGCCCUUACGUCCAGGGCUACACACGUGCUACAAUGGCCGGUACAAAGAGCUGCGAUACCGCGAGGUGGAGCUAAUCUCAAAAAACCGGUCUCAGUUCGGAUUGUAGGCUGCAACUCGCCUGCAUGAAGUCGGAGUUGCUAGUAACCGCGCGUCAGCUAUAGCGCGGUGAAUACGUUCCCGGGCCUU